AAAAAAAAAAGUCAAUCACAAAUUCAAUCGAACACUGAGACAUCAUUUAUGUAUCAAUAGCAAGACAAGAUAUUUACUUUGUCGACUCAAGUAUGGCAACAGUUAAAAUCUUUGAAUCGUCGACAUAUAUAAUUAGAGAUCUCAAUGUUCCCAACGAGAUAACGGUAUCUUUGAGAUGCAUAUUGAAAGAGCAAAAACGUACAAUGAAGAAUCAGUAAUGAGGUGUGAACGUUUGCAAAGUAUUCGGAGCAAGGGAUCUUACUGAAAGCUAAACAAAGGUUGCAUGAAAAGAACAAAACUGAUACAGUGACAACUUGGUACAGAGAAUGGUCACAACUCAAAACCUAACAUAUCCACUGGAAGGAGCAACUACGGAAGUUGUGCGGGAUCUCUCUGGAAAAUGACGACUCGUCCGCCUUUGUCUCCUGUUGCGAGAAGAUCGCCAUCAUGGUUAAACUCAACGCAGGAGAUUAUAUCAGCUGAAAUAAAAACAAGGUUAUAAAUAAGACAGGAUCAAGUUAUCAGCUAGUUCUAGAUCAGUCAUGAGAAAAAUAAGUAAAAUAAAAUGUAAAAACUAGAGAAGAAUCAGACUCCGACAACAAGCAACUUCUUUGUUUGAAUAGGUUAUCAAAUGUUACCGACUCAGUGGUAAUUUUGACAAGAUAACAUCAGAUAAGGACAUCUGAAUAAUUAUGCGAAUCAAAAGUCAGUGAAUCUUAGCAAAAGUGACAUAUUUUCCAAGUAAAAUUUGGGCUACCGAAACCCAUGGAAAUGGCACGUCAUUUUAAUAACCUAAACCUUGAAUACUCCAAGUAACUAUUUUGAGAAAUUUAAAAAAAAAAAUAAUUCAUAUGAACUUACCCUCCGUAACGUCGUCUU